AACUCGCAUUUGCCAUUAAAGAGGAGAUGAAGCCUACUUCAUAGAUUAAUCUAUUAGAAAACCUUUAUAUAAGGUUACAACCUUAUUUCUUAUUUGUAGAAAUAAAGUUGCAAAAAUCUAUACCGUCAAUUUUAUUUGGACUUUGUAGAUUGGACACACACAUUGUAAAUGCAACCUUAUUUGUAGAAAUAAGGUUGCACUAAUCUCCACCAUCCAUUUUACUUGGACAGUAUCGAUUGGACACUAUUUUAAAGACGUGCUAUGCAUUGACAUUGUCUUAAAAUAUGUGUUUCAUCUACAAUGUCAAAUAAAAUUGACGGUGCAGAGUAUCGCAACUUAAUUUCUACAAAUAAGGUUGCAACCUUAUAUAGACCACACCGUAAUCUUUUCUUCCUAAUUUUAUCUUGGGUAUUGUAAAAUAAAGAGGUAGCAUAU
rnacentral:lncRNA from 1 species